UUUUAAUGGUCAUGUUACUAAUGGCGUGCCAUGGUGAAUGAAGUGUAACGCAGGAAUAGCAAAGAAGUCUCACCGCGGGUCGUAUGAUCAGAUGGAAAGCCGGAAUGUAGUACGAGAUACGAAGGAUCUUCAAGGGAUAGAGAUCAAGGACCGAGUCACAAGACAGAUUGUACGGGAACGUUGGUGUUGAAAUUUAGAAAACCCAUGUCAUGUAUUUAAUUGUAAAUGAGUCGGUUGAUGACUUCAUGUGAAAAAGUUGUGUUAAAAUGAAAUUUUAAAUAA